AUGCUUCCUUCUAAUGGUGGUUUGGUAGAGCCUAGGCCCGCGGAGUUUGACGGUUUUUACCGUACUCUGAUAGUGGGGGAUGAGAGAGGGGUAUCGGGUGUCAUCGCUACUAGCUUACAUUUUCCUGUUGUACAUUAUUUUGCUCUAUUCAUUGCAAAGUGCUUACUUGCUAGAGAAAAGGUGGGUGCACUUAGCGCUCCAAACUUUGCUAUUUUACGUUGCGCACUUUAUGGCGACAACACUUAUAGUUUGGGAGCUAUUGUGGCACGUCGCCUUCAUAUUAACAGAUCCAAGGGUAAAAUACAUGGAGGCAUUUAUGCUACUCGCUUGGCGACUCACUUUAACGUGCAGAUACGCCAGCAUGAUCAUCCUUUGCCCAAGGUUUACCUAGAUCAAGCGGCUAUGGAAGACCACCAGUUUAUUGCUGUUGAUUACCCUGAUAUUGAUAUUCCUUAUAAUUUAGUUUUUAGUGAGAAAACUCGUGAUAUUAUUCCAUUGCCUGCAUCUGCUUUGUUUGAUCCUAUUGCCAGGCACGGAUACAGGAUUAUGCCUGAGGACAUCGUUGCUUACCGGAACAACCUAGCUGCGGCACGGGAGGAGCCUCAGCAGUGA
rnacentral:rRNA from 1 species